UAGGGAAUCUUCCACAAUGGACGAAAGUCUGAUGGAGCAACGCCGCGUGAGCGAAGAAGGUUUUCGGAUCGUAAAGCUCUGUUGUGAGGGAAGAACAAGUACGGGAGUAACUGUCCGUACCUUGACGGUACCUCAUUAGAAAGCCACGGCUAACUACGUGCCAGCAGCCGCGGUAAUACGUAGGUGGCAAGCGUUGUCCGGAAUUAUUGGGCGUAAAGCGCGCGCAGGCGGUCCUUUAAGUCUGAUGUGAAAGCCCACGGCUCAACCGUGGAGGGUCAUUGGAAACUGGGGGACUUGAGUACAGAAGAGGAAAGUGGAAUUCCACGUGUAGCGGUGAAAUGCGUAGAGAUGUGGAGGAACACCAGUGGCGAAGGCGACUUUCUGGUCUGUAACUGACGCUGAGGCGCGAAAGCGUGGGGAGCAAACA
rnacentral:rRNA from 1 species